GAAAUGGCCGAUACUUGGUGUGAAUUGCAGAAUCCCGUGAACCAUCGAGUCUUUGAACGCAAGUUGCGCCCGAAGCCACAAGGCCGUGCGCUCCCGCGCGGAUGGCCCAAA
rnacentral:rRNA from 1 species